CCCGGCGGGGCGGCUUCGUCAGGCGGCGGGCGGCUCGGGUCGGCCCGGGCGCGGCGACCGGCGCGGCACCAGUCACCGGGCC
rnacentral:tRNA from 1 species